GGUGUCUUGGCUAAUGUGUCUUGGCUAAGGUGUCUUGGCUAAUGUGUCUUGGCUAAGGUGUCUUGGCUAAGGUGUCUUGGCUAAGGUGUCUUGGCUAAGGUGUCUUGGCUAAUGUGUCUUGGCUAAGGUGUCUUGGCUAAGGUGUCUUGGCUAAGGUGUCUUCGCUAAGGUGUCUUGGCUAAGGUGUCUUGGCUAAGGUGUCUUGGCUAAGGUGUCUUGGCUAAGGUGUCUUGGCUAAGGUGUCUUGGCUAAUGUGUCUUGGCUAAGGUGUCUUGGCUAAGGUGUCUUGGCUAAUGUGUCUUGGCUAAAGUGUCUUGGCUAAGGUGUCUUGGCUAAUGUGUCUUGGCUAAAGUGUCUUGGCUAAGGUGUCUUGGCUAAGGUGUCUUGGCUAAUGUGUCUUGGCUAAUGUGUCUUGUCUAAUGUGUCUUGGCUAAGGUGUCUUGGCUAAGGUGUCUUGGCUAAUGUGUCUUGGCUAAGGUGUCUUGGCUAAGGUGUCUUGGCUAAUGUGUCUUGGCUAAAGUGUCUUGGCUAAGGUGUCUUGGCUAAGGUGUCUUGGCUAAAGUGUCUUGGCUAAGGUGUCUUGGCUAAGGUGUCUUGGCUAAUGUGUCUUGGCUAAUGUGUCUUGUCUAAUGUGUCUUGGCUAAUGUGUCUUGGCUAAGGUGUCUUGGCUAAGGUGUCUUGGCUAAUGUGUCUUGGCUAAUGUGUCUUGGCUAAUGUGUCUUGGCUAAGGUGUCUUGGCUAAGGUGUCUUGGCUAAGGUGUCUUGGCUAAUGUGUCUUGGCUAAUGUGUCUCGGCUAAGGUGUCUUGGCUAAUGUGUCUUGGCUAAUGUGUCUUGGCUAAGGUGUCUUGGCUUAUGUGUCUUGGCUAAUGUGUCUUUUCUAAUGUGUCUUGGCUAAGGUGUCUUGGCUAAUGUGUCUUGGCUAAGGUGUCUUGGCUAAAGUGUCUUGGCUAAGGUGUCUUGGCUAAUGUGUCUUGGCUAAUGUGUCUUGGCUAAUGUGUCUUGGCUAAUGUGUCUUGGCUAAAGUGUCUUGGCUAAGGUGUCUUGGCUAAUGUGUCUUGGCUAAGGUGUCUUGGCUAAUGUGUCUUGGCUAAGGUGUCUUGGCUAAGGUGUCGUGGCUAAGGUGUCUUGGCUAAGGUGUCGUGGCUAAGGUGUCUUGGCUAAGGUGUCUUGGCUAAGGUGUCUUGGCUAAGGUGUCUUGGCUAAGGUGUCUUGGCUAAGGUGUCUUGGCUAAUGUGUCUUGGCUAAUGUGUC